rnacentral:rRNA from 1 species
UACGGGGGGGGCAAGCGUUGUUCGGAAUUACUGGGCGUAAAGGGCGCGUAGGCGGCCUUCUAAGUCGGACGUGAAAUCCCUCGGCUUAACCGAGGAACUGCGUCCGAGACUGAAAGGCUUGAAUCCGGGAGAGGGAUGUGGAAUUCCAGGUGUAGCGGUGAAAUGCGUAGAUAUCUGGAGGAACACCGGUGGCGAAGGCGGCAUCCUGGACCAUUACUGACGCUGAGGAGCGAAAGCCAGGGGAGCAAACGGG